CCGGCGAUGUCCGAAUGGGGAAACCCAGUGCAAUUCGUUGCACUAUCGUUAACUGAAUACAUAGGUUAACGAGGCGAACCGGGGGAACUGAAACAUCUAAGUACCCCGAGGAAAAGAAAUCAACCGAGAUUCCCCCAGUAGCGGCGAGCGAACGGGGAGCAGCCCAGAGUCUGAAUCAGCUUGUGUGUUAGUGGAACGGUCUGGAAAGUCCGACGGUACAGGGUGAUAGUCCCGUACACCAAAAUGCACAGGUUGUGAACUCGAAGAGUAGGGCGGGACACGUGGUAUCCUGUCUGAAUAUGGGGGGACCAUCCUCCAAGGCUAAAUACUCCUGACUGACCGAUAGUGAACCAGUACCGUGAGGGAAAGGCGAAAAGAACCCCGGCGAGGGGAGUGAAAAAGAACCUGAAACCGUGUACGUACAAGCAGUGGGAGCACCUUCGGGUGUGACUGCGUACCUUUUGUAUAAUGGGUCAGCGACUUAUAUUCUGUAGCAAGGUUAACCGUAUAGGGGAGCCGCAGGGAAACCGAGUCUUAACUGGGCGUUAAGUUGCAGGGUAUAGACCCGAAACCCGGUGAUCUAGCCAUGGGCAGGUUGAAGGUUGGGUAACACUAACUGGAGGACCGAACCGACUAAUGUUGAAAAAUUAGCGGAUGACUUGUGGCUGGGGGUGAAAGGCCAAUCAAACCGGGAGAUAGCUGGUUCUCCCCGAAAGCUAUUUAGGUAGCGCCUCGUGAAUUCAUCUUCGGGGGUAGAGCACUGUUUCGGCUAGGGGGUCAUCCCGACUUACCAACCCGAUGCAAACUACGAAUACCGAAGAAUGUUAUCACGGGAGACACACGGCGGGUGCUAACGUCCGUCGUGAAGAGGGAAACAACCCAGACCGCCAGCUAAGGUCCCAAAGUCAUGGUUAAGUGGGAAACGAUGUGGGAAGGCACAGACAGCCAGGAUGUUGGCUUAGAAGCAGCCAUCAUUUAAAGAAAGCGUAAUAGCUCACUGGUCGAGUCGGCCUGCGCGGAAGAUGUAACGGGGCUAAACCAUGCACCGAAGCUGCGGCAGCGACACUAUGUGUUGUUGGGUAGGGGAGCGUUCUGUAAGCCUGCGAAGGUGUGCUGUGAGGCAUGCUGGAGGUAUCAGAAGUGCGAAUGCUGACAUAAGUAACGAUAAAGCGGGUGAAAAGCCCGCUCGCCGGAAGACCAAGGGUUCCUGUCCAACGUUAAUCGGGGCAGGGUGAGUCGACCCCUAAGGCGAGGCCGAAAGGCGUAGUCGAUGGGAAACAGGUUAAUAUUCCUGUACUUGGUGUUACUGCGAAGGGGGGACGGAGAAGGCUAUGUUAGCCGGGCGACGGUUGUCCCGGUUUAAGCAUGUAGGCUGAUUGUCCAGGCAAAUCCGGAUAAUCAAGGCUGAGGUGUGAUGACGAGGCACUACGGUGCUGAAGUAACAAAUGCCCUGCUUCCAGGAAAAGCCUCUAAGCAUCAGGUAACAUUAAAUCGUACCCCAAACCGACACAGGUGGUCAGGUAGAGAAUACCAAGGCGCUUGAGAGAACUCGGGUGAAGGAACUAGGCAAAAUGGUGCCGUAACUUCGGGAGAAGGCACGCUGGUGUGUAGGUGAAGUCCCUGCGGAUGGAGCUGAGACCAGUCGAAGAUACCAGCUGGCUGCAACUGUUUAUUAAAAACACAGCACUGUGCAAACACGAAAGUGGACGUAUACGGUGUGACGCCUGCCCGGUGCCGGAAGGUUAAUUGAUGGGGUUAUCCGUAAGGAGAAGCUCUUGAUCGAAGCCCCGGUAAACGGCGGCCGUAACUAUAACGGUCCUAAGGUAGCGAAAUUCCUUGUCGGGUAAGUUCCGACCUGCACGAAUGGCGUAAUGAUGGCCAGGCUGUCUCCACCCGAGACUCAGUGAAAUUGAACUCGCUGUGAAGAUGCAGUGUACCCGCGGCAAGACGGAAAGACCCCGUGAACCUUUACUAUAGCUUGACACUGAACAUUGAGCCUUGAUGUGUAGGAUAGGUGGGAGGCUUUGAAGCGUGGACGCCAGUCUGCGUGGAGCCAACCUUGAAAUACCACCCUUUAAUGUUUGAUGUUCUAACGUUGGCCCCUGACCGGGGUUGCGGACAGUGUCUGGUGGGUAGUUUGACUGGGGCGGUCUCCUCCCAAAGCGUAACGGAGGAGCACGAAGGUUAGCUAAUCCUGGUCGGACAUCAGGAGGUUAGUGCAAUGGCAUAAGCUAGCUUGACUGCGAGCGUGACGGCGCGAGCAGGUGCGAAAGCAGGUCAUAGUGAUCCGGUGGUUCUGAAUGGAAGGGCCAUCGCUCAACGGAUAAAAGGUACUCCGGGGAUAACAGGCUGAUACCGCCCAAGAGUUCAUAUCGACGGCGGUGUUUGGCACCUCGAUGUCGGCUCAUCACAUCCUGGGGCUGAAGUAGGUCCCAAGGGUAUGGCUGUUCGCCAUUUAAAGUGGUACGCGAGCUGGGUUUAGAACGUCGUGAGACAGUUCGGUCCCUAUCUGCCGUGGGCGCUGGAGAAUUGAGGGGGGCUGCUCCUAGUACGAGAGGACCGGAGUGGACGCAUCACUGGUGUUCGGGUUGUCAUGCCAAUGGCACUGCCCGGUAGCUAAAUGCGGAAGAGAUAAGUGCUGAAAGCAUCUAAGCACGAAACUUGCCCCGAGAUGAGUUCUCCCUGAGACUUUAAGUCUCCUGAAGGAACGUU
rnacentral:rRNA from 1 species